AGCAAAAGAGGGGAAAUUAAAAAGGAAAAAAAGGGAGGUGUGGAAGGAGGAGAAGAGGGGGCGAAAAAUAGAAGGGGGGGCGGGAAAAAAAGAAAAAAAAAAAAGAAAAAAAGGGAAGCCGUCCCCAAACUGUGCCAAACCCCGGAGCGAGCAGGGAUGGCGCACCCCGGUUGGCUCUGCCUGCUGCAGGGCUCCCUCCUCCUGCUGGCCACGGCGCGGCAGAGCCGCGGCCCCCCCGCCUGCCCGCUCCCCGCAAAGCAAAGCGAGCUGAACUCCUUCCUGUGGACCAUCAAGAGAGAUCCCCCGUCUUACUUCUUUGGCACCAUCCAUGUCCCAUACACUCGUGUCUGGGAUUUCAUCCCAGAGAACUCCAAGAAGGCCUUCCAGCAAAGCCACAUCGUAUACUUCGAGCUGGACCUCACCGACCCCUAUACCAUCUCAGCUCUCACCAGCUGCCAGCUCCUGCCACAGGGGGAAAACCUCCAGGACGUACUGCCCCGUGACAUCUACCGCCGGCUCAAGCGGCACCUGGAGUACGUCAAGCUCAUGAUGCCAUCCUGGAUGACCCCAGACCAGCGGGGCAAAGGGCUGUACGCAGACUACCUCUUCAAUGCCAUUGCUGGCAACUGGGAGCGGAAGAGGCCAGUGUGGGUGAUGCUGAUGGUGAACUCUCUGACAGAGGUAGACAUCAAGUCACGAGGUGUGCCCGUCCUGGAUCUGUACCUGGCCCAGGAAGCAGAGCGGCUAAGGAAGCAAACGGGUGCUGUGGAGAAAGUGGAGGAGCAGUGCCACCCGCUCAAUGGGCUGAACUUCUCCCAGGUGGUCUUUGCUUUGAAUCAGACUCUCUUGCAGCAGGAGAGCCUCCGAGCAGGCAGUUUCCAGAUCCCCUAUACGACAGAAGACCUUAUCAAGCAUUACAACUGUGGGGACCUCAGCUCCAUCGUCUUCAGCCAUGACACUUCUCAAGUCCCAAAUUUCAUUAAUGCUACACUUCCAGCGCAUGAACGUAUGACUGCCCAAGAGAUAGACAGAUACUUCCGUCAGGAGCUCAUCUACAAGCGAAAUCAGCGAAUGGGCAGAAGGGUGAAGGACCUGCUGGAGGAGUACCCAGACAAGAGUUUCUUCUUUGCAUUUGGAGCUGGUCACUUCAUGGGCAACAACACAGUGAUUGAUGUUUUGAGGAGAGAAGGGUACGAGGUAGAACACACUCCAGCUGGACAAGCCAUCAACAACAGAAAACACCCCAAAACCGUGUUAGCCUUUUCAUCAUCAUCAGUGCCACACAGCCCUUAUAUCAUGUCCCAAGAGCUCCCACUGCCGUUGCACCCCCGGAAGGAGGAGGAGGAAGAACUCCUGCCACACCUGCUGCUCCCUGACAGCAUUGACAUCCUGGAGAAGGUAGACAGGAAGUACAAAAAGAAGAAGAAGCAGCAGCAGAAGAAACAAAGACUGCGACAGUUUAAUGACCUCUGGGUUCGCCUUGAAGAAAGUGCUACUGACCCUCCUCCCCGGAUCCGCAUCAUUAACGGCUACAUCACGGUCGAACCCCAGCCCCGGGGCCACAGACGGUCUAGUCAUGCUCACACAGACACCGGCAGCGCUCACCAGCUUUCCCAUUCUCUCUUCCUCCUGCUACUGACUUUGACUUUGCAGACAACGAGGCUGCAUUGAAACACAGGGGAGCCAAGGUGCAGGGCUCUUGCCUUAAAAAGCAAGAAAGAAACUUACGUGAAAAAACAUAAACAGAAGACUCUGAGCGGCACACCUGUUCUUUGGGGUGUUCUUAAAUUGCCUCCUUUUCCUGAAUCUGGAUCAUUAACACUAUUAACUGGUUUGACCUGCCCAAUACAGGAGAAGAUAUUUUAAUGAAAGUGUUAUUUAUCCUUCUCUUGCAGAAGAAUGAUUUCAUGUUAUCCCAUAAUGAUUUGGGGAGAUUAUAAUAUUGCUAUAACAUAGCUGUUGUUUAGCUUUAUGAGCCCAACUAAAUUACAUUUUUUUCACCUUCAGUGCCUUGUAAGAAGAUUUACACACCACUAACUUGUUUAUUACAACGGAAUAUUUUGGUCAUAUGAGCACAGCUGGGAAAGAGAGGACAUCCUCUUGUGAUCACACUGACUCAUUGUGUGAGCAACAUAUUCCUCUCUCCUCUUAGGAGGGUUUCACUGCCUGGGAAGGUCUCACAAGAUUCAUCCAUGGGAGGGCUUGGACCCAAUGUGCUGAGCCUGGUACCCUGGAAACACAGCAGACACCCAUGCUGUCUCACCCCGAAAGACAACAAAUCCUCAGGUUUCCCUUCCUAUGCAUGUACGCGUGCUUCACCACUUUUUUCAUUGCCAACAGAAAAUACCUCUUUUUUUGAUCCUCAUCCUUCUACUGCACAUUGGAAGAGGAGAGGAGCAAACAGUUCCAGCUUUCCUAACAGGCUUUUCAUGUCGUGAUCUCAAAUUUUAGUCCUCCUUCAGAAGGACUAAACCUGAAUAAAGCCUUAGUUUGCUGAGGAAAACAGAAAAAGGAGAGACUAAAUAUUGCAGUUUGCAGCAGGACUGUGGGGAAUUAAAUGUAUCUGAGCUGGGGUAGAAGAUGGUACCAUCUCAUUGUAUAUUCUUUCUCACGGGGAAUUCUAAAAGACCUCAGGGUCCCAGAUGCAUUCUGGCUUCCUUGGCUUCACACAGCAGCCAGGUUGGUGAUGUGCUCUGCCCUGUCUCCCUAUGUGGUUGAUCUUUCACUAGUGUAAACUGCUGACCUGGUGGGUCCAGAACUAUUUUCCUUGGCCUGAAUGUGACCUCAGGGGAGCAGAUCAGACGGGGGAUAGCUUAAUUACAAAGAGACACUGCAGGCCUGACAAACUGAGCACAUACUUGUGUGUCUACCAGCGCAGCUGAGGAGACGUGUUCUGCCACUUGCUAGCCUAUGUGUUGGUAUUGCUUGUCCUCCCCCUGUCCUCUGUCCCUCAGAAAAGCAUGAUGAGGUGUGGCACAGGUCCAAAAGGCACUGGAAGCACUGGGAGAAGGGACUGAGCCAGAGCUUCCAUUUCUUUUCUCCAUUACAAGACAAAGGCUGCUGUGUAAAAUAGCCCCAGGGCUGACUUUCUGUUUUGUUCCCUCCUCCAUGGUUGCUCCUGAGCUUUGCCUCUGUGAGGGGUGUUGAGUCAGUGGAGCAGCCACCAUCAUUUUUCUUAGGUUGGCAAUGAGGGAAGAGUAAUUACAAAACACUCAGGAAUAACUCAGAACACUCAGAGACCUGAAGUAGCACUAUGGAUGAUUCAGUUCUGGUGGUUUAACUCAUUUUGUAGCCUGUUUCCAAGUGCGUGUCUGUGUCAGGGAAAUAGAGAUGUCUUGAAACUGUGGAUUGUGUGGUAUUUUUGAGAGUCUCAUGGCUUGAUACCUGUGAACUAAUCUAGUGGUUCCUACCCCUCACUUUUUCUUCCAGACCAGUCAUUGCUGACUGGCCAUGGGACACCAAAGUCUUGAAAUUCUGACUGAUAGCCUUACUCCAGCUGUGCAUCCUAGUCAGCUGUUUACAGUGACCACUGGGGAGUGCUAGGUUUGGGUCCUGUUGUUUCUCCCUAGUUUCAGAACAAGAAAAGUCUAACAGAAUUGGAACAGCCCAAGGAGCCAUCCUAAUGGCCAAAGUCUGCUCAGAGCUUUCUCUGGGCACAGAGCAUCAGGAAGGCAAGCAUUCACAUCAUGUGCCUGGAAGACUUCAAUCACUGUCCCUGUAUGUGUCCCUCCCAAGCAGCUGACGUAGCUUUUGUUGCUUUGCAAUUGAGAUUCAGUCAGGCUUGUGAUGAGUAGCAGACUUGAUUCAGAAAUCACUGUGAAAGUGCAGGUACUUCUUUCUUCAGUGCAGGGGCUGAAAUCUCCUGUUGUCUCCUGAGCUAGGUGCCUCCACAUCAUCUAAGUGCUAUAACAAAGCAUUCUUUGUUAUAUCUGAACAUCCUUUUCCGUUCUCUUUCCUUUGUAUUUACUAACUAGCCUGU